CUGAGCUCAGGCCUGCACCUGUUGUCAAUGCCUCCUUUUAGGCUUUUGGACACACCUCCAUUAGAUCUCUGCUGCAGCGGGCAGAUAACUCGAAGAGGUCGCGCAGAUGAAUCCUCUUCACGUGUUGGUUGCUUCUACCCCCGCCUGCCCUUUGCGUCCCUCUCUCUUGGUUCUAAUUCCCAUGAACUCUCUCUCUCUCUCUCUCUUCAUCACCCAUCCACAGUUCUCAUCUCCAAAGGGGGGUUCCACUGUAUCAGCCUAGGACGGACCUCUUCUAUAUAUCUCUCAUUCCCCUUCUCUUGGUUUAUGCUCAUCUCUCCUCUCUUUUCUUUCUUGUUUCCGACUCAUGUCAUGUGCAGCCUCUCUUCCGGAUUGACCUUUUAUUUUGAUCGCUCUGCCUGGUGAAGAUAGAAAUUAGGGUUUCGUAGAUGGGGUUACUCAUACUAAAGACCCCUUCCAUUGCUGGGAAGAACUGUGAAGGUCAGACUUCUCUCUUUUCCUCUCUCUCCUUCUCUCGUUCUCCUCUUUCUCUAGAUCUACACUGUAGUUUCUUCAAGCACUGUGUUUCUGAAGGGAUUGAUGACCAAAAUCCAUGUUUUUUCCUUCUUUUCUCUCUCUCUCUCUCCGUCUCUCUCUCUCUCUCUUUCUCUUUCUGAGGAUGAGUUUUAUUAACUCGCUGCAGCUUUUUCCAUGUAAACUUAGAACAAAAAACAUUAGCUGUUGUAGCUCAAAUAGAUAGUUGGGAAUGCUUCCUAAAGAUUUGGAAUCCCCAUAAAGUUGAGCCUGCAAUCAACUGUAUUAUCUUAUGUUUAUUGCUUCUUUUUUUUCACAUUAUUACGAUUUUUCACCAAAUUUUGACUGUUCGUUUUUGUUAGAAAUGUUGUUCUUCGCAUGUUUCCCUCAUCUGCACGCUUAGUUGAAUUAUGGUUGUUGAUUUAUCCUAGAAAAUAUCCCUUCAGAAAGAUUUACAUCCAAAAGAUAAGAUGAUAUAACUCUGCUCUACUCGUUGCCAAUGAUAAACCCAUGCAGUUCUUCUUGCGUUAUGCUUAGGGAAGGUAAGACUGCAAGAUGAUUCUGCUUCCUUGCAAUCUGUAGACACAGAAACUGCACAAGCAUAUGGUAAGGCUGUUCUUUGUUGUUAGGAAUGUGAAGUUCUUGACAUCUUAUCCUCGGUAACUCUACCAAUCUCGUAAUUAAAUUCGAUGUUUCGCGAUAUCAAAAGAAAAUUCUACAUGUGAUUUGCGAAGUAAUUUGUUCUUAUGUCUGUCUUCCUACUAAAAUAGAAUCUGAAAACCGUGUUUGAGAGAGCUUCCUUCAGUCCACUCAUGGAUGGUUGUAGGGUUUGAAUCAGCUGCCGACUCAUUCGCUCAAACACCCAGUAGAAAGGAAGCGGACACAAUUCUCUACUCCACAUGGCAGCAGAAGGAAAAGGGUUUGGGUUCUGAGAUUGCUACUGUGUGAAUGAGUGAAUGAUGCGGGAGAUUAUUCUCUCUCUUCCAUUCCAUACUUGGACUGAAGGGAGCUCCCUCUCUCUCUUCUUUUACAUGCGUUGGCCAUUGCACCUCUUCCUCUAUCUUCUUCCUCCUUCACCAUCUUCUUCGAAGCAAGAUAACAUCCCAGGAAUUCAGCGAGUAGUUAUGAACCCAAUCUCAAGUUGGAACUCGAGAGAUGAUAUUGUGGCCUCCUCCCUCAUCUUUGGCAAUCCCUUUCUCAUCUCUGCCCAUCUUGAAACUUGAGCAAGGCACCAUAAUUAAGAGCUGCACUUGUAGAUUUGUUUCAAGGCUCGGCACUGUGUGUGUCUCCACCACUGCAUCAAAGAUUUGAAAAGAUUCAGGAUGCUGCUCCUCGUGCAUCAACAGUGAAAGUACAGUUCUGCUCAGGUCUACAAACUCAAAAUGAGAUGUCAUCAGUGCUGUCCGCAUGUGGUUCUUUAGAAUUGUAGUCACUGUUUUGGAUGCUCUCUCUUCCGCUCUGCAAAUUAAAUAUUGCUGAUGUCUUCAAAGAUUGCCUGUAAAGGUGUUGAUCACACGAGACAUGGCAGUGACAUUUGUGACUGCAGCGUGUGGAAGUACACACCACUUCAUUAUUUUGUUUACUGUGUAUUGAGCUCUGCCUUCUGUAUGAUUCACACAGGUGUAACAUCGAACGUUGCAAAAGCUGCAACAACUGUCCCUCGCCA